UUGACGGGGGCCCGCACAAGCGGUGGAGCAUGUGGUUUAAUUCGAUGAUACGCGAGGAACCUUACCAGGGCUUAAAUGUAAGUUGCAUGAUUUAGAGAUAGAUCUUUCUUCGGACUACUUACAAGGUGCUGCAUGGUUGUCGUCAGCUCGUGCCGUGAGGUGUCAGGUUAAGUCCUAUAACGAGCGCAACCCCUGUCGUUAGUUGCCAGCAAGUUAAGUUGGGCACUCUAGCGAGACUGCCAGUGCAAACUGUGAGGAAGGUGGGGAUGACGUCAAAUCAUCACGGCCCUUACGUCCUGGGCUACACACGUGCUACAAUGGUCGGUACAGAGAGCAGCCACUACGCGAGUAGGAGCGAAUCUAUAAAACCGAUCUCAGUUCGGAUCGCAGUCUGCAACUCGACUGCGUGAAGCUGGAAUCGCUAGUAAUCGGAUAUCAGCCAUGAUCCGGUGAAUACGUUCCCGGGCCUUGUACACACCGCCCGUCAAGCCAUGGAAGCUGGGAGUACCUGAAGUCGGUUACCGCAAGGAGCUGCCUAGGGUAAAACUGGUAACUGGGGCUA
rnacentral:rRNA from 1 species